rnacentral:rRNA from 1 species
GGUCAAGCUACAAAGGGCGCAUGGUGAAUGCCUUGGCAUCAGGAGCCGAUGAAGGACGUGAUAAGCUGCGAUAAGCUUCGGGUAGGCGCACAUAGCCAGAGAUCCGGAGAUUUCCGAAUGGGGAAACCCGCAUGAGAAACCUCAUGCAUCGUAAAGUGAAUACAUAGCUUUAUGAAGGAACACCUAGGGAACUGAAACAUCUAAGUACCUAGAGGAAGAGAAAGAAAAAUCGAUUUUCUUAGUAGCGGCGAGCGAAAAGGAAAGAGCCCAAACCAGAGAUUUAUCUCUGGGGUUGCGGACAGAACAUAACGUGAAAUUAUGAUUAACCGAACACAACUGGAAAGUUGGACCGUAGGAGGUAAUAGUCCUGUAAGUAAAAGUCAUAAUGAUCAGUUCUGCACCAGAGUACCACGAGACACGUGAAACCUUGUGGGAAGCAGGGAGGACCACCUCCCAAGGCUAAAUACUACCUGAUGACCGAUAGUGAAGCAGUACCGUGAGGGAAAGGUGAAAAGAACCCCGGGAGGGGAGUGAAAUAGAACCUGAAACCAUGUGCCUACAACCGAUCAAAGCACCUUAUGUGUGUGAUGAUGUGCUUUUUGUAGAACGAGCCAACGAGUUACGGUAUGUAGCGAGGUUAAGUACUUAAGGUACGGAGCCGAAGGGAAACCGAGUCUUAAUAGGGCGACUAGUUGCAUGCUGUAGACCCGAAACCGGGUGACCUAUCCAUGGCCAGGUUGAAGCGAGGGUAAAACCUCGUGGAGGACCGAACCACGUUGCUGUUGAAAAAGCAUGGGAUGAGCUGUGGAUAGCGGAGAAAUUCCAAUCGAAC